UACAGAGGUCCCAAGCGUUGUUCGGAUUCAUUGGGCGUAAAGGGUGCGUAGGUGGCGCCGUAAGUGGGGUGUGAAAUUUCGGAGCUUAACUCCGAAACUGCAUUCCAUACUGCGGUGCUUGAGGACUGGAGAGGAGACUGGAAUUCAUGGUGUAGCAGUGAAAUGCGUAGAGAUCAUGAGGAAGACCAGUGGCGAAGGCGGGUCUCUGGACCGAUACUGACGCUGAGGAGCGAAAGCGUGGGGAGCAAACAGG
rnacentral:rRNA from 1 species